rnacentral:rRNA from 1 species
UGGGGAAUAUUGCGCAAUGGGCGAAAGCCUGACGCAGCGACGCCGCGUGAGGGAUGAAGGUCUUCGGAUCGUAAACCUCUGUCAGGAGGGAAGAAAGGCCCAGGUGCUAAUCAGCCUGGGAUUGACGGUACCUCCAAAGGAAGCACCGGCUAACUCCGUGCCAGCAGCCGCGGUAAUACGGAGGGUGCAAGCGUUAAUCGGAAUUACUGGGCGUAAAGCGCACGUAGGCGGCUUUAUAAGUCAGAGGUGAAAUCCCACGGCUCACCCGUGGAACUGCCUUUGAUACUGUUUAGCUUGAGUUUGUGAGAGGAUAGUGGAAUUCCAGGUGUAGGAGUGAAAUCCGUAGAGAUCUGGAGGAACAUCAGUGGCGAAGGCGACUAUCUGGUGCAACACUGACGCUGAGGUGCGAAAGCGUGGGGAUCAAACA